CUAUCAAAGAUUUAAUAAACAGACAUUAUUUCACAGAUCGCACACUCAUUUCAAUUUUGUCAACAAUUUAUAUACUAGUCAGACAUAAAAACCUUUAUUGUGUGACCCCCCUAGUUAAAAUAUUUUUUGAUGGUAACCCCCCCAAUGGUAUGACAUUUUUGGCAAUGACCCCCCUAAAAUGCACCGACCCCCUCAGCUGAUAAAUAAUGACUGUUCCCUAA
rnacentral:lncRNA from 1 species